rnacentral:lncRNA from 1 species
AGAAUGUCUAGAAUAUGAGGAAGGAUUACUGUGAAUAUCUACAGAUUAUUGCUAAGGGCUUCAUAGGUUGUUGGGAAUAACGGAUCCCCGAAAACCGGAUUCGACACUAAAUCGAACCCCUAAAGCAAUGCGGAAGACGAAGCCCGGGAAAAACACGUAUCACCGAUCAUAAAGCACACCACGGAUUCGAGCGUACCUUGUUAGCCACAAAUUAGACACCAAUGCCGAAGAUCGAGGAAGAAAUUCUGAUCCGAUGAUGUCAAUUCACCUUGAAAGGGAAAACGGCGUGGCCUUAAGCGUAUUGUUCUUUUUGGAGGGAUAGAGGGAGAGGAACGUACGUGCGUUAUUCCAACCGGUGUCUUCCUCUCUCUCUCUCUCUCUUUCUCCUUUUAUACGUUCCCUUAUCAAUGGGCCCUAAUUCCGUGGGCCGGGCUUUUAGGCCCAACAUGGGCGGACGGGCCUUAAGCCCAUCACUAAUAAAACCAUCAUCUCCCACUCGCACAUGGUAGGCUGAACAGGAUUCUCUUUACCUCUCUUCAAUAUUCAUACCAGUGAAUAAUCCGUGCGACCAGCAUACUUUGAGAGCUCGUUGCCAUACAUCUGUUAGGAAUAUAUAGCAGCUAAUGGGCAUCACAUCCUGAGUAGAUUUAGUAUGCAGUACCUUAGAUCGAUCGAUCACAUUUAUUAUCUCUCUUGAUCUCUUUUAAAUAAUGAUAUAUAUAUAUAUAUAUAUAUAUAUAUAUAUAUAUUGUAUUCACAAUUAUGAUUAUCACAAAGACAAUCAUAAUUGGUUAACCGGUAAAUACAAAACUACAAUGUGAUUCUCCAAAAUCGAUCUUCCUCUUUCCUUCAAACUCUCAAUUUCAGUUUAGCUUGCUUUUCUAGAAAUGUCCCAUUAGAUCGAAUCAACUCAUGACCAUUGGCAACAUCCUAAGAUAGCAAACACUAAAUAGAAAUCUUGAGAAUAAGUAAGAGUCAUGAGGGGACUAAUGAAUUGAGGAACUCUUUUCCUCAAGAGUCUCACAUGACAUAAAAGUUGAGAUCAAACUUUUGCCACUCUUAUUGGUCAUCUCAUGCAUACGUAGUAUGAAAUACAUAUUACGGUAUUAACUCAUUUCCCAUGGAGCUUAUGUCUACACCUUUCAAUACUGUACAGAUGAUAGUUUAGACAUACCCAAUGUCUAACUUGAGUUCACGUAUCUACUCAUUCACAAAAUUCAUCAGAACUCACAUCUGGCAUCAUAGACAGAUAAAGUAAAAAAUGUGGGAUAUUUUACUUUCGGACAUAAUAAGUAUUAUGUCCUCAUCUUAACACCCAGUUAAGGCAACAUACGUAUUUUAAGCUUGAGCUCUCAAUUAUCACCUAGAUAAUAAGCUUAAAAACAGUAUCAUCUCUAUUUAUCACACAGUAAAUAGAGGCGAUUACCCGUGUGAGUGGGAUAAUCUUAUAUCUGUCCGACAUACUUUCUCAACUUAAAAUAAUGCACUGAGCAUUAAGAUGCAUAAAGAUCAAACAAAGAUUCAUAGGCAUUAAUGAUGAAAAACACAAAUUCAUCAAAUGUGAGUGCUUCAGGGAAAUUACAAUCCAGUACAUCAGACUCUACGCAAUUCUAGAGAUUUCAUAUGGCUACAAAACACAUCUCUAGGUAUUGGCUUUGUCAUAGGAUCUGCUACCAUUCUAUGCGUAGUAUGUACUCUAAGUUCACAUCUUUUCGUGCAAUCAUAUCAUUGACAAAAGUAUACUUGGUAUCUAUAUGUUUGGUCUUGCCAUGAUAUUUUGGAUCUUUGGUGUAUGCUUUUGCUGCUUGGCUAUUGCAGUUAACCAACAAUAAAUCUGCAGCACUUCCAAUAGCACCUAAAUGAUCCAAAAAAUCUCUUAAGCCAAACACCUUCUUAUACUGCUGCUGAUAAUGCCACGAACUCAACUUCUAUCGUAGACAAGGCUAUAUACUUUUGUUUCUUACUACUCUAACAUAUGGUGCCAUUAUUCGGUAAGAAAACAAACCCAGAGGUAGAUUUCCUUUCAUUUAAAUCUCCUCCCCAAUGAGCAUCAAAAUAGCCUUUGAGUUGCAGAUCCUUUCCUUAAUAACUCAUCGUAUAAUCAGCAGUCCCCUUUAGUUACCUUAGUAUUCAUUUAACGGCUUUCCAACAUGCUUGACUUGGAUUAGAUUGGUAUCUGAUCACCAUUCCAACUGCAAAACAUAUGUCAGGUCUUGUACAUAUUAUAGCGUACAUCAAGCUCCCAACAGCACUAGCAUAAGGAACAUGUUUCAUUUGUUCAUUCUCUUGUGGAGUCCUUGGACACAGUCUAUGGCUCAAUCCUUCACAUUUUGCAAUAGGAGUGUCUAUGGGUUUACAAUCCCAUAUCCUUCAAUUCAAAGUUGGAAGACAACCAACUCUUGACAUUAUUAACAAACUCCAUAUUACUUCCGGCAAUUAGUAUAUCAUCAACAUAUCAUGAUAUGAUCACAAAUUGAUCCUUGGAUCUUUUGAUAUAUAUACUAAUCCUUAUCUAUCAUUGUAAAGUCAUAUGCCAUUAUGGCAUUAUGAAAACGUAUAUACCAUUGUCUUGACAACUGCUUAAGGCCAUAUAUCGACCCCCAAAGUCGACAUACCUUUUCUUCUUGGUCUUUCACUAUGAAAACAGCAGGUUGUUCCAUAUAUAUUUCUUCCUCUAAUUCUCCAUUGAGGAAAGCAGUCUUUACAUCCAUUUGAUGUAACUCAAGAUCCAUACUAGCCACUAUUGCCAGAAUUAUGCAAAUCGAGGUAAAUCUCACUACAGGAGAAAAUGUUUCUUCAUAAUCAAUUCCUUCCUAUUGAUCAUACCCAUUUGCCACAAGGCGAGCCUUAUGCCUUUCUAUCGAGCCAUCAGCCUUUCGCUUUAUUUUGAGAACCCACUUGUUCCCAAUAGCUUUGCGUCCUUUUGGAAGACCAACCAGUUCCCAGACUUUGUUUGAUUUCAUUGAAUCCAUCUAUUCUUUCAUUGCAUGAAUCCAUUUUUCCUUACUAGGGCAAUUCAGAGCCUCAUUAAUAUUUCUUGGCUCAUCCUCAUCUUGUGGAGCAAUCAUAAAAGUUUCCCCUUUAAUGUCAAAACGUCGACGGGGAAUACUUUGGCAACUUGUUCGCUGUAUGAGAGAUUGUACACUUAGCACAUCAUUCCCCAUUAUGCUCCCACUUGGAUUAGAUAAUGAUGACAUUGUCUCAUCAUGUGGUUGCAAUUAAGAAUGAGUUGAAUUCAAUUCAUCACUUCUCAUAUUACUCCCACUUGGACGAACUCCACUAAUAUCAUUAUCUUGAUCCAAGGUUUCAAAUAGGAAGUAAUCUUCUCCUAUUUCGCCUUUCUUAGGAAAUUCAUCCACUAAGAAUGUGACAUCCCGUGAUUCAAAUUCAGUUAUUCUCCCACUUUCCUGCUCACCUAUGAACACAUACCCUUUCGAGUGUUCGGAGUAUCUCAUUAAAAUACUCUACUUUUAUCUGGGACUCAAUUUCCCAAACUUGUGAGAGGACAUAUGAGUAUAAGCAGCAUAACCCCAUGGCUUAAGUAAACUUAAGUCCGGUUUUCUACCUGUCCAUAACUCAUAUGGAGUGGAACUAACUGAUUUAGAAGGCACCCGGUUAAGUAUAUAGGCAGCAGUUAACAACGCAUCACUCCAAAAAGUGAUAUGUAAGUUAGCAUGUGCUGUCAUAGACCUAACCAUUUCCAGUAGAGUUCUGUUUCUUCUCUCUGCAACACCAUUUUGUUGAGGAGUAUAUAGAAUAGACAAUUGUAUUUCUAUUCCUUUUCAUCACAUUACUUUCUGAACUCAUCAGAUAAAUAUUCUCGACCUCGAUCGGAUCUCAGUGCUUUUAUUUUCUUGUCUAAUUGAUUUUCUACCAAGUUCAUUAAACCUUUUGAAACAACUUAUUGCUUCAGAUUUAUGAGAAAUCAAAUAGACAUAUCCGAAUCGAGUAUAAUCAUCUAUCAAAGUGAUGAAAUAAACAGCCCCAUGCCUUCCUCUCACAUUUAUUGAACCACAGACGUCAAAAUGGAUUAAAUGCAGAGGAAAUUCAGCUCUUUUAUCUUUUCCAAAUGGUUUCCUUGUCGUUUUCCCUACUAGGCAAUGCUCACAUAUGAGCAAAUCGACUUUUUCAAUGUUGCCCAACAAGCCUUCUUUGGCUAGUCUAUUUAUACAUUAUUGGUCAAUAUGACCAAGUCUAGCAUGCCACACAUUUACAUCAUUAUCAUAUAAAGUAGAAGACGUGAAACAAGGGAAUAACAAACAUUGACAUUACCACAGUCAACAUUUAGUACAAUAAAACCAUCCAGAAAGUGACCACAACCAUAGUAGUUUGUAUCCAAAUACAAAUCUACACUGCUAUUACGGAAGUUCACACAAAAACCAAGCUUAACCAAUAUCAAAACAAACACUUAAAUUUCGACGAAUUUCCAGAGCAUAUAGAACAUCAUGUAGGAACAAGGUGCGUCCACCACGCAUGUUCAAUUGGCAGGUGCCAAUCCCUUUAACUUCAUCUCUGGAGUUAUAUCCCACAUAGAUCCACUUAGUUCCAGUUGGUACUCGUCGGAAUUCCACGAAGGAUCCUCUAUCCUUCGCUACAUGAUCUGUCGCUUCUGAAUCUACAGUCCACAAAGGAUUGGAUUCAGCCAAUAAUACAGAACUUGACACAUAAGCUAAGUUCUCAAAUGUACAAGAGGUGUUUUCCUUCUUUGGCUCACAACAGUUGCGAAUAUAGUGACCAUUCUUGUCACAAUUGUAACACCUCACCCUUGACAUUUUCUUCACUUGAGGACGUUUUCCUCUCUUGUGUUGGUUAACUCUUGAUUUCUUACAAUAAGGACUUGAUCCUUUGCUUUCCCACAUAUUGAACGAAUCAAUACGUUUGCACUUAGAGCUCAAAGCCCUUUCUGAGCUAGAACCAGCAUUGCAAAUAUCUAUUUUCGGCUCACAUGCCGUCAAGCGGUCCUCUACCAGCUUAAGGUGACGCACAGCAUCCUCAAGAUCUUCCAUAACAUGGUCAAAAGCUUCUAGUGCUUCUUGUUUUUCCAGCACAUAUUGAAUCUUCAUAUUCAAUAUUUCACAAUUGUUGCCGUUCACAUCAGCAAUUACGUUCUUAGUUGCUGAAUCCAUCAAUCUGAACAUAUCAGACAUAUAUGCACAAAUAAUUAAUGCCUAUCAUUUAUGCAUCCACUUUGCACAGACCCAUCAUAUCAAUGAAUAAUUUCAAGUAAGGUUUCAGAAUAAAAAAGGUCACUACGUUUCCAAUCAUCCUCCAAAAAUCCUAACUUAAAACUAUUAUUAAUAUAAUUGUCUUAUGCAAAAUAAAUUCUAUGAAGUUAUAAAAACUUCUAUGAACUACCCACAGCUAACUACCCACAGUAAUCAGUAAUAACAAAAAGCAACAGAUAAUUUAAUAUCCAAUAGAAUAACAAUGCUUUCACAUAAUACAACAAUCCAUUACACUAAGUACUAUAUACAAAGCAAAAUAUCAACAUAGAAAGAGAUAUUUAACACUCAAAAAACAUCUCAAACUAAUCUAAGAAAUAAACAGGGAAUGUCCCUUCUAAUCUAUCAAUCAAAACAUCUGAGAAAACUGAAGGCACAUUUGCCAACCAUGGAAAAAACUUUUAGAGAGCUUUCAUGUCGCCACCAAGACGCAUUUACUCUACGCCAUGUGGUGCUCAAUCUAAGGGUUGAAGUUUUGGCCAACUCAAUCCUAUAACCCGGGACCACGUUGACCUCCCAUAGCCGAUCUAACACUGCUUGCCAUUCAGAUGGAAGAGUGUUUAUCAAAGCCGGCACCUUCUCAAAAUCCGGCAUAAGAUAACCAUUCCAGAUGAUUUCUUGUAUCAUCUGAUUGACCCUAACCACGUGUGAUACUAAAUCACCGUCAUGCCACCGAUAAUCAGCUAACUCUUUCAUCAGCCUUUUCAGUCUAGCUCUUCCUUCGUCCGUUCUCGGGAUUGCAGGUAUCCUUGCAUAACGCAUCAUAGUUCCUGCAACAAAUGCAGAACCAAUAAAUGGAUCACUUAUAAUCCACAAUAAACAAAAUGGAAAAUAUAUAAUUUUGCAUGAUUCAUGCAACAAAUGCAAAAUAAAAAAUGGAUUACCUCUAACCCACACAGACAUUUUUAAAAAGAAACAAAUACUUUUUCUUUUUCUUUUUCUUUUUUUUUCAGGUCAACGGUCAAUGGUCGUCGGUCAACGAUCGUCGGGUCAACGGGUCAACGGUCAGGUCGUCGAACCGGUCAGACCGGUCGGACCGGUAGGGCCGAUCGGGCCAAGUCGAACGAAUCGACCGCACGUGCCCCACGCGUGCCAGGCGUCCGCGGGUCGGGUCGGGUCGGGUCGCCGGCGAGUCGCCGGCCGGUGACCGCCCGCCCAACUGUCGUCAGCGCUAACAUCAGCGAUGACGUCAUCCCAGCGGUUACCGACCGUUGGAUGACGUCAGCACACGUCGGUCUGCCGACCGACGCGUGCCGGUUCGCCGCCGGCGUCGCGCACGUGCCGGUUCGCCGACCAGCGCGUGGGACGCACGCGUUGGCCGAUGCCAGCGCUUCGGGCGCGUCGCACCCAUGCGCAGCGGCUUCUGGCCGUGCGUGUGGGCGCGUGCGGCGUCGCCCGGCGGCGCACGACAUGUCGUCGGACUCGCCUCGACGACCUCUUUCACCCAGCUCCUUCAGAAAUUGAUUUCGACUUACGGAAACUCAGAAAAAAGGACGAACAGGGCUCGGGUGUCGGGAUUUCUCGCCCUGAUCCAUACGGCUGAAAAUUUUUGCGAAAAAUCAAUCAAAAAACAACUAAUAGGUCGGGAAAACGUGAACUAGGGUUCUGAUACCAAUGUUGGGAAUAAUGGAUCCCCGAAAACCGGAUUCAACACUAAAUCGAACACCUAAAGCAAUGCGGAAGACGAAGCCCGAGAAAAACACGUAUCACCGAUCGUAAAGCACACCACGGAUUCGAGCGUACCUUGUUAGCCACAGAUUAGACACCAAUGCCGAAGAUCGAGGAAGAAAUUCUGAUCCGAUGAUGUCAAUUCGCCUUGAAAGGGAAAACGGCGUCGCCUUAAGCGUACUGUUCUUUUUGGAGGGAGAGAGGGAGAGGAAUGUACGUGCGUUAUUCCAACUGGUGUCUUCCUCUCUCUCUCUUUCUCCUUUUAUACGUUCCCUUAUCAACGGGCCCUAAUUCCGUGGGCCGGGCUUUUAGGCCCAACAUGGGCGGACGGGCCUUAAGCCCAUCACUAAUAAAACCAUCAUAGGUCAUAUUAAAUUUCAAGCAACGAAAAUUCGUGCUACCGAAAGAAAAAGAAUGAUCAUGUUUUACGGCCUAGAUUGUUAUGAUUUUUUAGAUUAUAAAUUUUACGUGAUUAUUACGAGAAUCAUUUAAAAGAUGU